ensembl:lncRNA
GAAAAUGAUAACAAUUCUAUGGAGGUUUUUGAUUAUUUGUUUAUCUGUAUUUUUUGGUCUAGUAGAAAAAAUUAUAUUUUAAGACCUGGAUAUUGACAGAACAGAGGCUUCACGUACAAAACUGCUAAGUGUAAGAGUAAGAGAAAUUAACUACUGAUACAAUCUUCUAGACUGUAAUCUAUCUAGCAAUAAUAAUUUUCUACAACAGUAAAAUAUGCUUAGUUGAGGGCAUGUGUUUUUUUUUAUGAUAUAGUUUGUUGAGAUGAGAUUUUGAUGCAUCUAUAAUGCUAACAUUACGCAGCUGCAUGCUAUUAUUUGUUUCAGGAGGGCUUAUGCUUAAGACCAUUGGAUGCUGCACUGGAUUUCAAGGUAUCUGUGGAAAAUGAAAAUAUUUGUUAUGAUGGACAAGUUUUAUUUACUAACUGUAUGGUUAGGCUGAAUUUGGUGGAGUACCUGAAUCAGUGUUCUAAAGAUUCAUCAACUUACAUUGCAUGAAAAGUAUGUUCACAAAAAUUCAUGUUACAAUUGAUAGAAGCUUGAAGGUUAUACUGAAUGCAAGACUGGUCUUGUAGCAAAUGCAUUUAAUUCUUUCAUGAAAGAGGCAAUAAAUUACAAGAAUCUGAAAAGGAGACUUGUAAUUUUCCCUUUGUGAAAGUUAGGAGUGUUUCAAAUUGAAAACAUAAAAAUUCAAACGCUGUUAGCUUUGACCAUUAGAGCAUGCUAUCAAUCCCUGACCACUGGCAUGGAAAGGAAAAGAAAUGGGUUCCACAAGUUAAUAUUCAUAAGAUAUGUUUUCUAAGAAAGGUUUAAUAGCUUACUGUAAUGUCAAAAUUCUUCUAAAAGGAUAUCAGUAAUGGUACCAUCUGUAAGCUGUUCCAUGUAUAUCCAACAAAGGAAAACAGUGUGAGAGGACUGGAAUGUCUCAAAAAUAAGAAGAAAAGAUCUACUAACUGUCAACAACUAUUUAAAGACUACUUCUGCAUGGACCAUUUGUAGAACCAUUAGAGCAGGUUUGUCACUUAACUCCGUAUCAGAAGAGCUGCCUAACAUGACUCCUUGUAGUUGAGGUUUUGCUCCUGUAAGGCUUCGCUUUGGAUUGCUCAAAAAUCAUGCAAACACAGUAUGACUGGAUUCAACAGGGAAAAAACAAAACACCUAAAUGUACAGUCUCAAAAAGGGAAAGGAAAAUCACAUCUGAUUUUUCCUUCAGUACUUCUACACAGAAUUUUUCUUCAAACUGCACUUUUACUUUUGUUCAGAACAGUGAUAUUUCUGUGCUAAUGUUUACAGUUGUAUUUAUUAGCUUUGUUUAUUUUUCUUUAAGUUAAUUCUGAUGGAUAUAAUCAUAAAUUUUUCAAACACUGUGCUAUUAAAUGCAACUCCAGUGAAAAAACAAAAAGCAGAAGAGAAACCUAUGUAGUUUUCAUCCUUUCUUACAGAUUUCUCUUUAAGGAUCUCUGUACUUGAAAUAUUUGUAGUAGUUGAAAAAAAAUAACUAAGGAAAAAGAAGUUGCUUUAUCUUGUUGCUUUUUCAAACAUUUAUUUUCCUUGAUAAGUCCAUUAAUAGGGUCAUCUACCUUCUUUGCAUUCUAUUUAGAUCACACAUGAAAAAAUCAGUAACAAAUUACACUUGUUUUGAAAUGAGGCUAUUUUGUCAUUGUUUAGCUGCAGAGGGUAGCUUUGUUGUUGUUGUUUUGUUUGUAUGUUUUAAAAAGAUUUCUAUGAAGAUCUCUUCUGUGUAUUUGUAUGUCAUGUAAGUCUCCACUGAAGAUCAUUAAAAAUGUUAUUUUCAGUUUUGACACCAAUGCAAAACUUAAUUUCAUCAAGAUAUCUCUAAUAAUUAUGUUCAAAUGUAUCCCGAAGUUUAGCAGCUGUUUCCAUAGACUCAUACUUUGCUCUUAUUCUGUUUAGAUGACUUUGAUAGAAAGAUCUGAGAGGUUUGUUUAAAUGAACAUUCUAUGAGUUGUGUUGAGUUAAAAGCAUUAACAUGAUGAAUACCUCUUUCCCCCUCUGCAUGACUUCUCAUUUCAUAAGAAAAAAAGUUUUCUAUCUCCACACAGUAGAGAUGCAUCAGAUACUGAUAUGAGACUUGUUUGUCUGAGCACAGGAAAUAUAAGGUUUUUAGAGAUGUUUUGACACCUCUGCAUCUUGUUUUCGAUUUGAACCUGUAGACAUAGUUUGCCACCUUGUGGCAAAAAUGCUUUUCAGAACUGCAGUGAAUAGAACUACUUCUAUAAGUCCUAUCUGAUUGGAAUUGUUGUCUCUAACAUAGGACCAUAGGGAAGACAAGUGUCUUUAAAACAUGGACUAUCUUGUCUAGGAACCAAAAUACAAUUUUAUUUUUAAAGGAAUGUCUCAAUUUAACUAGCUGAUAUAUUCUGCUAAUAUCUGUAGCCAAGACAAAAGCAUUUAAAAAUUCUUCACAAUAACCUUGGAAGUCAUAUAGUUAAUGCAGGCUAUUGAAAGCUAGGUAACUAAGGCAAAAUCUUUCAUGUAUAGAGAUGCAAUCUUAUUAAGGGAGAAGAUUAUUUUUAAUUUUUUUUAUUUCUUAAAGACAGCGGUUACGAAGACCAAGGUAUUAUAAACAGCUAACGUUUCAGUUUGGUGCUGAAAUCAUAAAUAAACACUGGAAAACUGGAUUGGAUCAACGAGAUCAAAAAAUAUUACAGAAUUAUUUUGUGUUCUUUACCAGAUAUAUUUUAAGCAAAAACAAUAGUUUGCGUAGAAUUCCAUGUGUUCAACAAAAAAUGUAGCAGUAAAAGUCCUUUCUAUCUAACUCAGAACUAUAACUACAGUCAACAUGUGCAUCUAAUUGUUAGGCAAUAGAAUCUACUUCCGUUUUUUGGGACAUUCACUAUAAGGCCUAUAAGCAAGGGUUCUGAGCAAAAAUCUGAAUUGUGCUGAAUUGUGAACUGGAAAAAAAGAGCCUCUAAAUUUCAAUCUAUCAGAGAAGUGCUUUAGAAAGGAAGUGUACAUAUGGGUCACUCUGAAAGAAACGCUUCACAUUCAUUUCCAUGGAAAUUACAACAGAUAUGAAGAGCACAAUAAUAUUUUUUGAAAGAGCAACUUCUCAUUUACAAAACAAUAUUUUUCAAUGGUCACCACCGUUAGCCAUGUAUUUUCACCAGCAAUGAACAAGCGUGCAUGCUGCACUCCUAAAAAUUUGCACUAUCUGAGGUGACCCACUGUUCUUGUUGCCACCCAUUGCCUCACUGUGCUGAUGUCCACAGUUUGAUCUCCAUAAAUGUUUAACAAUCGUUCCUGAAUGUCAGUGGGUGCAAUUCCUCCUGUGUGGAGGAAUUUGAUGACACACAUUUCCCUCAUACUUACUUCCAUGUCAGACACCAUUUUGUCACACUGCCCUCUGCUGCCACCUGUUACAAGGCAACAAAAUGUAAUGGGAUAUUUGCGGGAAGGUUCAACAUCUACUGCUGUACCACCAACAUUCACCUUUGAUGUUAUGAUCCAACAUAAUAAAAUAGGAGCCCUGACUUUUGGAGCACCUCAUGUACCUCUACAUUAUUUUACUUAAUUUCUCCAUAGCAUCCAUGUACGUCUACAUUAUUUCACUUAAUUGUUCCAUAGCAUCUCUUCUUUCCCCUAGUUUUUGAUCUUCCUACUGAUAUUUCCUUCCAUCAAAGCAGUUACCUGAAAUGCUUUUCUGUUAAUUAACUAGUAAUUAGUAAGAAAGAAAAGCUAUUCUUAAUUGGAUCAGACAGUUUGUAGUUUAUUUCAAAGGAUCAACAGGCUAAGUUAGCUUAUGGAAGUGCAGGAUUUGCUCAGGUUGAAUUGAAAUUGGCAGCCUAAGGAAGUGGUGGAGUCACUGUCCCUGGAGAUCUUCAAGAAACAUGGAGUUGUGACACUGAGGGACAUGGCUUAGUGGGCAUGGUGGUGAUGGGCUGACAGUUGGACAAGAUGGUCUUUGUAGUAUUUUAUAAACUUAAUUAUUCUAAUAACUCAAGUUUCAGUUUGACUUGUCUUAUAUUUUUUUAAUGUAAAUUCAGUUUUGUCUAG